UACAGAGGGUGCAAGCGUUGUUCGGAAUUAUUGGGCGUAAAGCGCGUGUAGGCGGCGUGGCAAGUCGGGUGUGAAAGCCCACGGCUCAACCGUGGAGGGUCACUCGAUACUGAUCGACUGGAAGGCAGGAGAGGGAAGCGGAAUUCCCGGUGUAGUGGUGAAAUGCGUAGAUAUCGGGAGGAACACCAGUGGCGAAGGCGGCUUCCUGGCCUGU
rnacentral:rRNA from 1 species